GACGAACGCUGGCGGCGUGCUUAACACAUGCAAGUCGAACGGAAAGGCGCUGCUUUUGUGGGGUGCUCGAGUGGCGAACGGGUGAGUAACACGUGAGUAACCUGCCCUUGACUUUGGGAUAACUUCAGGAAACUGGGGCUAAUACCGGAUAGGAGCUCCUGCUGCAUGGUGGGGGUUGGAAAGUUUCGGCGGUUGGGGAUGGACUCGCGGCUUAUCAGCUUGUUGGUGGGGUAGUGGCUUACCAAGGCUUUGACGGGUAGCCGGCCUGAGAGGGUGACCGGCCACAUUGGGACUGCGAUACGGCCCAGACUCCUACGGGAGGCAGCAGUGGGGAAUAUUGCACAAUGGGCGGAAGCCUGAUGCAGCAACGCCGCGUGCGGGAUGACGGCCUUCGGGUUGUAAACCGCUUUCGCCUGUGACGAAGCGUGAGUGACGGUAAUGGGUAAAGAAGCACCGGCUAACUACGUG
rnacentral:rRNA from 1 species